UACGUAGGGUGCGAGCGUUGUCCGGAAUUAUUGGGCGUAAAGAGCUUGUAGGCGGUCUGUCGCGUCUGCUGUGAAAAUCCGGGGCUCAACCCCGGACUUGCAGUGGGUACGGGCAGACUAGAGUGUGGUAGGGGAGACUGGAAUUCCUGGUGUAGCGGUGAAAUGCGCAGAUAUUGGGAAGAACACCAGUGGCGAAGGCGGUUCUCUGGGACGGUACUGACGCUGAGACGCGAAAGCGUGGGGAGCGAACAGG
rnacentral:rRNA from 1 species